GGCUACUUGGUCUAGUGGUAUGAUUCUCCGUUCGGGUCGGAGAGGUCUCGGGUUCAAUUCCCGAAGUGGCCC
rfam:Stentor coeruleus isolate WM001 SteCoe_contig_36, whole genome shotgun sequence.